rnacentral:rRNA from 1 species
UGGUGCGAUCAUAUUUUAACUGCGACGUUAAACGUGGUUGGACGAGAGUAGUACUGGGAUAGGUGACCUCCUGGGAAGUCCUCGUGUUGCACCCC